UACGUAGGGUGCGAGCGUUGUCCGGAAUUAUUGGGCGUAAAGAGCUCGUAGGCGGCUUGUCGCGUCGGAUGUGAAAGCCCGGGGCUUUACUCCGGGUCUGCAUUCGAUACGGGCAGGCUAGAGUUCGGUAGGGGAGAUCGGAAUUCCUGGUGUAGCGGUGAAAUGCGCAGAUAUCAGGAGGAACACCGGUGGCGAAGGCGGAUCUCUGGGCCGAUACUGACGCUGAGGAGCGAAAGCGUGGGGAGUAAACAGG
rnacentral:rRNA from 1 species